CAGGCCCGGAGCCAGCUGAGCUCAAGCUCCUCAAUUUCAUACUAAGCAGAUCAAGCUUGUAAGUUACACUAUUUGCCUUGUUUUCCAUCGAGACAAGAAUCCCCUAGAAUCAGCAGGAAGAGAAGAAAAGGAGCCAUUUGAUGGCCUGCCCUUGGGGAGGAAAGGAUAACUGCUCCGUGGAAUUAUUGCAAAAGCGUUUGGUUCCCAGUGUCAGCUCUAGAGGGCCCAGGGCCAGAAAGGACCUGGAGGAUGGUGGGCUCCACUGGGCACUGGCACGGGGAGGGGAGGGACUCAUGGUCUGCUUCCACUUGGGCUGGACCUGAAGAACAGAGCUAGAAAGACUCCCAGAACAGCACAUGCACCGUCUCUUUGAAGCCUCCAAGAACCCUUUGCAGCCCGUUCUACUGUCCCAUUACACACAGAUUAAAGAAGAUGGGACAUGCAGAGUUUGUGUGGAGACUAAAGGAGGUGUGCCCCCCAGGCAGCACCAGCACAGAAUGGACCAUCAGUCACUGUGCUAUCUCGAGAAAAAAAGAAGAUAUUACAUCCAUCCAUGAAAUGAGUGAGCUGGUUGCUUAAAAAAAUAAUAACAAAGCACACACCAGGCUAGGAUGACAGAAAAGGACUCUCUGUCAGUAUAAUAAGGUCCGGGGUGCCUGGAGGAUCGCUCAUCGAGGAAGGUGAAAUGUCUGAUCAUCUUUCCGAUGCUCCAGCAAGUGCUGCUAAGGCCCCUUGUCCCGUCUGCCCCACCUUAGGGUCCAGGCUUGGUACCUCUCAGCAGGGAACUGGGGGAGCUGAAGGACUGACUCCCAGCAGGAGGCUGGGAUGGGACCCUCCUGGCAGGGAGCAGAGAGAGACAAGGCCAUGGGGAGGAAGGCAGAAUGGAGCUCAAGGAGGAAAAGGCAUCUCCAUCUCAGUACCGGGGAGACCAAGGGGCACCCCCAGGGCUGAGACUCCAGCUCUGCUGCAGUGGGAGAUCCUGGGAAGGAAGACUUCAUGGGAUGGAGUGGAGAAGCCCAACCCCAGUCUCCACCUCCUCCUGUGAAUCCUGCCACCAGUGAAAUGCAACAUCUCAAAGCAGACGUGCUCGCUGUGGGUCUCUU